rnacentral:rRNA from 1 species
CAAUAGCGUAUAUUAAAGUUGUUGCAGUUAAAAAGCUCGUAGUUGAAUUUCUAGAUAGAUUAUACCCGGUUUCUAAUCGGUAUAUUUUAUUUAUCCGACAUUAAACUUUAUUGGAUAUUAAUUUAUCUAUAAAGCGAACUGUCAUUUUACUUUGAAAAAUUAGAGUGUUUCAGGCAGGCAAUUGCCCGAAUAUCUUAGCAUGGAAUAAUGGAAUAGGACUUUGGUUCAUUUUAUUGGUUAUUGAAUCAGAGUAAUGAUUAAUAGGGACAGUUGGGGGCAUUAGUAUUUAAUUGUCAGAGGUGAAAUUCUUGGAUUUAUUAAAGACUAACUUAUGCGAAAGCAUUUGCCAAGGAUGUUUUCAUUAAUCAAGAACGAAAGUUAGGGGAUCAAAGACGAUCAGAUACCAUCUAGA